rnacentral:rRNA from 1 species
UACGUAGGUGGCAAGCGUUGUCCGGAUUUAUUGGGCGUAAAGCGAGCGCAGGCGGUUCCUUAAGUCUGAUGUGAAAGCCCGGAGCUCAACUCCGGAAUGGCAUUGGAAACUGGUUAACUUGAGUGCAGUAGAGGUAAGUGGAACUCCAUGUGUAGCGGUGGAAUGCGUAGAUAUAUGGAAGAACACCAGUGGCGAAGGCGGCUUACUGGACUGUAACUGACGUUGAGGCUCGAAAGUGUGGGUAGCAAACAGG